GAUGAACGCUAGCUACAGGCUUAACACAUGCAAGUCGAGGGGAAACGGCAUUUAGUGCUUGCACCCGAAUGGACGUCGACCGGCGCACGGGUGAGUAACGCGUAUCCAACCUACCCAUUACUGUGGGAUAACCUGCCGAAAGGCAGACUAAUACCGCAUAGUCUUCGAUGACGGCAUCAGAUUUGAAGUAAAAGAUUUAUCGGUAAUGGAUGGGGAUGCGUCUGAUUAGCUUGUUGGCGGGGUAACGGCCCACCAAGGCGACGAUCAGUAGGGGUUCUGAGAGGAAGGUCCCCCACAUUGGAACUGAGACACGGUCCAAACUCCUACGGGAGGCAGCAGUGAGGAAUAUUGGUCAAUGGACGUAAGUCUGAACCAGCCAAGUAGCGUGCAGGAUGACGGCCCUAUGGGUUGUAAACUGCUUUUGUAUGGGGAUAAAGUCAAUCACGUGUGAUUGUUUGCAGGUACCAUACGAAUAAGGACCGGCUAAUUCCGUGCCAGCAGCCGCGGUAAUACGGAAGGUCCAGGCGUUAUCCGGAUUUAUUGGGUUUAAAGGGAGCGUAGGCCGGAGAUUAAGUGUGUUGUGAAAUGUAGACGCUCAACGUCUGACUUGCAGCGCAUACUGGUUUCCUUGAGUACGCACAACGUUGGCGGAAUUCGUCGUGUAGCGGUGAAAUGCUUAGAUAUGACGAAGAACUCCGAUUGCGAAGGCAGCUGACGGGAGCGCAACUGACGCUUAAGCUCGAAGGUGCGGGUAUCAAACAGG
rnacentral:rRNA from 1 species